UACGGGGGGGGCAAGCGUUGUUCGGAAUUACUGGGCGUAAAGGGCUCGUAGGUGGCCAACUAAGUCAGUGGUGAAAUACUGCAGCUUAACUGUAGCAUUGCCAUAGAUACUGAUGGGCUUGAGUGCAGAUGAGGUAGGCGGAAUUGAUGGUGUAGCGGUGAAAUGCAUAGAUACCAUCAAGAACACCGAUUGCGAAGGCAGCUUACUAAGCUGUAACUGACGCUGAGGCACGAAGGUGUGGGGAUCGAACAGG
rnacentral:rRNA from 1 species